AUGACCUCACAUCACAAGUUUCCUAGUAUCAGCUGGAAGUCGAGAACACCGAGAAGUUUAGCACAAAAAAUAGGAGCUACAGGCGCUGGGCUUUCCUUGAGUUUCGCAGUUUCUGGGAUAGCAAAUUCUGAGGGUCCGGUGGAUGAUGGCAUCGAUACCACCCACACUUCCGAAUCAUCCACUACCUGUGCUCAUGGGAAGAAAGUUUAUACAGAGUAUUCUGUCACCGGCAUUCCUGGAGAUGGUAGAUGCUUGUUCCGUUCUGUGGCUCAUGGUGAGUGCAUUAGGUCAGGGAAACCCAUACCUAAUGAGAAUCUUCAGAGAAAGCUCGCUGAUGAUUUAAGAGCAUUGGUAGCUGAUGAGUUUAUCAAGAGACGAACAGAGACUGAAUGGUUUAUUGAGGGCGAUUUUGAUACAUACGUCUCUCAGAUUAGGAAGCCACAAGUGUGGGGAGGUGAGCCAGAAUUGCUAAUGGCUUCUCACAUUCUUCGGUGA
rnacentral:rRNA from 1 species